GAUGAACGCUGGCGGCGUGCCUAAUACAUGCAAGUCGAGCGAACGGACGAGAAGCUUGCUUCUCUGAUGUUAGCGGCGGAAGGGUGAGUAACACGUGGAUAACCUACCUAUAAGACUGGGAUAACUUCGGGAAACCGUAGCUAAUACCGGAUAAUAUUUUGAACCGCAUGGUUCAAAAGUGAAAGACGGUCUUGCUGUCACUUAUAGAUGGAUCCGCGCUGCAUUAGCUAGUUGGUAAGGUAACGGCUUACCAAGGCAACGAUGCAUAGCCGACCUGAGAGGGUGAUCGGCCACACUGGAACUGAGACACGGUCCAGACUCCUACGGGAGGCAGCAGUAGGGAAUCUUCCGCAAAGGGCGAAAGCCUGACGGAGCAACGCCGCGUGAGUGAUGAAGGUCUUCGGAUCGUAAAACUCUGUUAUUAGGGAAGAACAUAUGUGUAAGUAACUGUGCACAUCUUGACGGUACCUAAUCAGAAAGCCACGGCUAACUACGUG
rnacentral:rRNA from 1 species